UUUGUCUGUUUCUCUGGACCGUUCCUCCAUAAACACAAUGCUGUGUGAGCGUGAAGGAAACUCACGUCCUCUGAGUUUAUUCUGAGUGUUCCAUACUUUACAAGUUCAUUCCAAAUGAACAAUUAAAACAAUAGUUUAAAAAUAUACUCCAUUAAAACAUGCAAGUAAUCCAUAUUUAUUGAUUAGCUUCUACAGCUGCUAAUCAUCAUGAAGCACACACACACACUCAUUCUUAGUACUUCAGAUCAGUUUCCUGAAGUAAUCUGAUUACUCCUUCCAGCACUCAUGCAGCUGCAGAUGUCAGAAUGAGGCUGUGUGACGGAUACGAGCACGACAGGCAGACAGCUGCAGCACCCAGCUGCUCCACAGGGAGGCGCCGCUCGCUGCCUGCAGGUCAUAACCAGCUGAUCGACUACCUGGACAUUAAGUCGGCCAUUUAUCUGCUGAUGUCACACAAUCAGAACCCGGAGCUGAUCAAGAUGCAGC
rnacentral:lncRNA from 1 species